CAGAUCGGAUCAUAGGAAAGAAGUUGUAGGCCAGGGAAUGGUGGGGGAGAAAAAGGAGAAACUACAUUUCCCAGAAAGCCAAGGGACAUGAGCGCUGAUCUCUCUGCACCAGAGCAGGAUGUAGGUGAGGAAGAAAUCAGCCUCUCUCUUUUCCUCCUGCCACCUGUUAAGUGAGGAGUCACUUCAGAGCUGGAUUCGCCUAGGAAAAUGGCAGCGGUUUGGAGGCAGGCCCGCUUCACUCUGCUUUAAGAACCCCGGACAAAUUCUGAUCUCACUCCAGAGUCAGGAGGCACUGGUCACAGGUUCGGUUCUUCACCCAGCUCCGGAUCUCAUCCCUCCAGCACUUGGACUCAUUUCAGUUCCAAACACCACGGGGAUUAUCAUCAAGAAGCAAUGAUAAAAUGUGGACACGUUCCUGAUUUUUUUUCCACCCUCGAUCUCCCAGACACAGCAACUAAUUCACAAUUAACUAUUUUUCUCUGGGAAAGAAUAAUUACCAUUGUUUUUGGUGUGUGGUAUGUGUUAAGUGCUUACUAUGUACCAGACACUGUAAUAAGCACUGGGAUAGAUACAACUUAAUGAGGUUGGAUACAGUCCAUGUCCCACA